CCCGACUUCCGGAAGUAGUAAUGUGGCUGGUUGUGUACAAAUAGAAACUACUGCACAGGCUAUUGUUUUAUUCAGUGCAAAUCUGAAGCCGCAAUGGGAUCUGCCGAACUACGGAUGGAAUUAGAAAAUCUCCUGAAAAGUCUGAAUAUUGACUUUGUUUCUGUGGAACAUCCGGAGACCAGCACCACUCUGGAUCAACACCAGAGACUGCUGUGUGUGAAAACACUAGGAGUUCAGCAGUUUCUGAAAGACUCAAACCUGCUUGUCUGGAACCAACAACCAAGCAUUGCGCCGAUGCUACACGAUUGGCUGAUUGAUUGGAUCACCGCAUUAAUGUGCUGGUGUUCCUAAUAAAGUGGUUGAUGUUGUUAGGCCACACUGCAACCUUCCACACUCCUCAGGUCACCAUCACCUCUGACACCCUCCACAGGUCACGCCCUCCGGAACCACCAACUCUGACACCCUCCACAGGUCACGCCCUCCGGAACCACCAACUCUGACACCCUCCACAGGUCACGCCCUCCGGAACCACCAACUCUGACACCCUCCACAGGUCACGCCCUCCGGAACCACCAACUCUGACACCCUCCACAGGUCACGCCCUCCGGAACCACCAACUCUGACACCCUCCACAGGUCACGCCCUCCGGAACCACCAACUCUGACACCCUCCACAGGUCACGCCCUCCGGAACCACCAACUCUGACACCCUCCACAGGUCACGCCCUCCGGAACCUUCAGCACUCAUAUCCAGAGACCUGGCUGGGGUUUGAACCAGCAACCUCUCAACCCAGAGGCCUUGCUCAACCACUUGAGCCACAGGAUCUCAUACUCAUACAUGCUUUCGUAGAACUUUUCACUUUUGUGUACUUAAUUUUGAGUUAAAAGCUAAAGCAAAAGCAAAGAUUCAAACCAGGGAUGUCCUGCAUCAAAGGCCAUGACACUAACCACUACACCAUUUCUUAUUGCUGCUACUUGUUUAUUGGCCAUUUGUAUACUUAAUUUUGAGUUAAAAGCUAAAGCAAAAGCAAAGAUUCAAACCAGGGAUGUCCUGCAUCAAAGGCCAUGACACUAACCACUACACUACCACAGUGUGUUGGUGACGUUUGCUUAUUGGACUUUUGUCCAUACAAUGAAAUGUUUAACGGACAAGGAGAUGAUUGUUUUCUUUCAUCUCCUAAUGGUAGAAGUUCAGCCAGGAAGAGUAAUUGUAAGGGGACCACUGAGCAACACACUCAGUGUAUUGCUGGAUAAACACUGGAUAAACACACUUGUUUAUUGGAUUUAAUUCUGAGUUAAAAGCAAAAGGACAGAGUCAAACUAGGGAUGUGCUGUAUCAGCUGCCAUGACACUAACUACUACACUAUCACUGAGCAUUGAUGACAUUUGCUUAUUGGACUUUUGUCCAUAGAAUGAAAUGUUUAAUGGAAGAGGAGAUGGUUGUUUUCUUUCAGCUCCUAAUGGUAGAAGUUCAGCCAGGAAGAGUAAUUGUAAGGGGACCACUGAGCAACACACACCCACACAUUGACUGAGCGUGUUAAUGCUGUGUACCAGUGCACUUUCUGGGAACGGUUCAUAAUGGGUUCCACUAUUCACCCAGAACAGAGGUGCUCCUUGAAGUGGCUUCCUGUUACUAAGAGGAAAUGUGAGGAAAUGAUGAAACUGCUGGGAGCUGAAAGAAAACAACCAUCUCCUCUUUCGCUAAUUGUUCCUUUGUAGGUUCUAUUUCACUUGUACAAUGCAAGACCAUGUAAGGGCAACAAGCAACACCUGCAGUGGGCCAGAGGUUGCACCAUGGUCUCCAAUGCGGCGGCGGCGAGUGGAGAAAAGUGAGAGUGGUGAUUGGAGGUGGUGGCAAGUGGAGAAAAGUGAGAGUGGUGAUUGUAGAGUAGAGGAAAGGGAGCAGGAGGUGAGAUGUGUUUGAAGAUGCCAAGGAAAGUGUUGGUGAGAAAAGAAAUGCUAGCAGAAUUUUCCUACAUAUGCAAAUCUAAGACACUUUUUUCAAGCUCCAUGACACCUGGGUUUCAUGCCAGGAUAUUGCUCCACAGCUGAGGUUACAUUCCUCAGGUCAUGCCUUUCAGAUCCUUUAGUACCACUCAGCUCACACCCCCCAGAACCAUCAGCAUCACUCAGGUCACCCCCCCCAGAACCAUCAGCAUCACUCAGGUCACCCCCUCUACAACCUUCAACAUUGCUCAGGUCACACCCUUAAGAACCAUCAACUCUGCUUACACUGGCUGUGCCUGAACCUUCAACACUCAUAUCCUGGAGACCUGGCUGGGGUUUGAACCAGCAACCUCUCAACACAGAGGCCAUCCUCAACCACUUGAGCCACAGGAUCUCUUGCUCAGAAGCUGGUUUAUAGAACUUUUGUAGAACUUUUCACUUUUGAGUACUUAAUUUUGAGUUAAAAGCCAAAGCAAAGAUUCAAACUAGGGAUGUGCUGCAUCAGCUGCCAUGACACUAACUACUACACUAUCACUGAGCAUUGAUGACAUUUGCUUAUUGGACUUUUGUCAAUAGAAUGAAAUGUUUAAUGGAAGAGGAAAUGGUUGUUUUCUUUCAGCUCCUAAUGGUAGAAGUUCAGCCAGGAAGAGUAAUUGUAAGGGGACCACUGAGCAACACACACCCUGAGCAACACACACUGAGCGUGUUAAUGCUGUGUACCUGUGCACUUUCUGGGAAUGGUUCAUAAUGGGUUCCACUAUUCACCCAGAACAGAGGAGCUCCUUGAAGUGGCUUCCUGUUACUAAGAGGAAAUGUGAGGAAAUGAUGAAACUGCUGGGAGCUGAAAGGAAACAACUGUCUCCUCUUCCACUAAAUGUUUCCACUCGCACCAUGUAAAACAAAAGGGCAACAAGCAACACCUGCAGUGGGCCAGAGUUUAGCAUCAUGGUCUCCAAUGCAGCAGAUGACAGGGAUUGCUUCUGUGCUUUUGCUUUAAUUAAGGAGUAUGUAUACAAAAGUGGAAAGUUCUAUAACACAGGCAGCUAGAAUGAGAUCCUGUGGCUCAAUUGGGUGAACAUCACCUCUGGGUAGAGAAGUUGCUGGUUUGAACUCCAACCAGAUCUCCAGAAUAUGAGUGUGGAACAAGGGUCACCAACCCUGUUCCUGGAGAUCUACCUUUCUGAAGACUUUAGCUUCAGCCUUAAUCAUGCCCACCUGACCAUCUAAUCGUUUCCCUAAGAAGUUCUUGAUCAGCUAAACCAGGUGUGUUAGAUUUUGGUUGGAGAUGAAACCUGCAGUAAGGAAGAGGGUUGGUGACCACUGAUGUAGAACGUUCAGGAAUCAGUGACACAAGCAGUGUGGAAGGUGCAGGAUGGUUCCUCUGUAAGGGAUAUACAGGCAUGCUGUAAAAAAAAAAAAAUCAGUCAGACUUUCAUGGUAUCUUCACACACCUAUUCUUAGUCAACCUUUUAGGAACCAUGCCAGACUUGAACCAACAACCUCCAAGCUCAGAAGCAAGGCUUUUACCACAAAGCCACCAAGUUCCAGACAAACACACUGGUGUUUUAUGGGCCUUUGACUUUUAAAAUGACAACCAAAGAAAAAAAAGAAAGAAAGACACACCCACCAGCCACUUUAUUAGGAACACUUACAUAGCUGCCCCUUAAUGCAGUGAUCCAAUCAGCCAGACAUGUGGCAGCAGCUUGAUGCAUAAAAUUAUACAGAUACAGUUAAUGUUAAAGGUCACCUAUACAUUACAGCACAGUGAGAUUCUUUUCUUCAUAUACUCCAGCAUGUUAGGAAGUUGGGGUCAGAGCACAGGGUCAGCCAUACUACAGCAUCCCUGGAGCAGAGAGGAUUAAGGGUCUUGCUCAAUGGCCCAACAGUGGCUACACCAAGGUUUGGACCCCCAACCUUCUGAUCAGUAACCCAGAGCCUUAACCGUCAAGCCACCACUUCCCUGUAAGACCGUGGGAUGGUUCUUGGUACCAGACAAGAAGGUUUUCACUGUGGAGGAAAUGAUGCCUCACGUACAGCACCUGAACGGAGCCGUGACCAAAAACCUCUUCCUAAAGGACAAGAAGAAGAAAAGCCUGUGGCUCGUCUCGGUGCGUCACGACCGGCAGGUCAACCUGAACG